UCACAUCAAGGUCACAUCGAGUCACAUCAAGGUCACAUUGGGUCACAUCGAGUCACAUCGAGUCACAUCAAGGUCACAUUAGGUCACAUUGAGUCACAUUGAGUCACAUCAAGGUCACAUCGGGUCACAUCAAGGUCACAUCGAGUCACAUCAAGGUCACAUUAGGUCACAUCGAGUCACAUCGAGUCACAUCAAGGUCACAUUAGGUCACAUUGAGUCACAUUGAGUCACAUCAAGGUCACAUCGGGUCACAUCAAGGUCACAUCGAGUCACAUCAAGGUCACAUUAGGUCACAUCGAGUCACA